rnacentral:rRNA from 1 species
UCGAUGAAGAACGCAGCGAAAUGCGAUAAGUAAUGUGAAUUGCAGAAUUCAGUGAAUCAUCGAAUCCUUUGAACGCACAUUGCACCCUCUGGUAUUCCGGGGGGUAUGCCUGUUCGAGCGUCAUUGCAACCCUCAAGCAUUGCUUGGUAUUGGAUGCCACCACUGUGGUGCAUCUCAAAAGUAUUGGCGGUGGCAUUCAGCUUCUAGCGUAGUAAAUCUUCUCGCCUUGGAGUUUGAGUGUCUGACUGCCAGAACCCCUAAAUUUAUCAAAGGUUGACCUCGGAUCAGGUAGGGAUACCCGCUGAACUUAA